rnacentral:tRNA from 1 species
AUUUGGGUAGUUUAAUAAGAAUAAUAAUUUGUGGUGUUGUAGGUGUAGUAUUAUCCCAAGUU